rnacentral:rRNA from 1 species
GAUGAACGCUGGCGGCGUGCCUAAUACAUGCAAGUCGAGCGAACGGAUGAGAAGCUUGCUUCUCUGAUGUUAGCGGCGGACGGGUGAGUAACACGUGGAUAACCUACCUAUAAGACUGGGAUAACUUCGGGAAACCGGAGCUAAUACCGGAUAAUAUUUUGAACCGCAUGGUUCAAAAGUGAAAGACGGUCUUGCUGUCACUUAUAGAUGGAUCCGCGCUGCAUUAGCUAGUUGGUAAGGUAACGGCUUACCAAGGCAACGAUGCAUAGCCGACCUGAGAGGGUGAUCGGCCACACUGGAACUGAGACACGGUCCAGACUCCUACGGGAGGCAGCAGUAGGGAAUCUUCCGCAAUGGGCGAAAGCCUGACGGAGCAACGCCGCGUGAGUGAUGAAGGUCUUCGGAUCGUAAAACUCUGUUAUUAGGGAAGAACAUAUGUGUAAGUAACUGUGCACAUCUUGACGGUACCUAAUCAGAAAGCCGCGGCUAACUACGUG